UAGGGAAUCUUCCGCAAUGGGCGAAAGCCUGACGGAGCAACGCCGCGUGAGUGAUGAAGGUCUUCGGAUCGUAAAACUCUGUUAUUAGGGAAGAACAAAUGUGUAAGUAACUAUGCACGUCUUGACGGUACCUAAUCAGAAAGCUACGGCUAACUACGUGCCAGCAGCCGCGGUAAUACGUAGGUGGCAAGCGUUAUCCGGAAUUAUUGGGCGUAAAGCGCGCGUAGGCGGUUUUUUAAGUCUGAUGUGAAAGCCCACGGCUCAACCGUGGAGGGUCAUUAGAAACUGGAAAACUUGAGUGCAGAAGAGGAAAGUGGAAUUCCAUGUGUAGCGGUGAAAUGCGCAGAGAUAUGGAGGAACACCAGUGGCGAAGGCGACUUUCUGGUCUGUAACUGACGCUGAUGUGCGAAAGCGUGGGGAUCAAACAGG
rnacentral:rRNA from 1 species